rnacentral:rRNA from 1 species
AUUGAACGCUGGCGGCAGGCCUAACACAUGCAAGUCGAACGAGUGGCGGACGGGUGAGUAAUGUAUGGGAAACUGCCUGAUGGAGGGGUAUAACCACUGGAAAAGGUAUCUAAUACCGACUUCUAUCAUUUGCGCCCAGAUGGGAUUAGCUAGUUGGUGGGGUAACGGCUCACCAAGGCGACGAUCCCUAGCUGGUCUGCGAGGAUGACCAGCCACACGGGAACUGAGACACGGUCCAGACUCCUACGGGAGGCAGAAGUGGGGAAUAUUGCACAAUGGGCGCAAGCCUGAUGCAGCCAUGCCGCGUGUAUGAAGAAGGCCUUCGGGUGGUAAAGUACUUUCAGCGGGGAGGCGUUACCCGCAGAAGAAGCACCGGCUAACUCCGUGCCAGCAGCCGCGGUAAUAC